UCUUUGGAGACAACCUGUAGACCCAAGUAUUGUGACUCAGGGAGGACCAAUCGUGGAUGGACGCUGCUGGCCAUUUGAUGGUGAGCGUGGACAUUUAGUCAUAGCCCUGUCCCACCCAGUGACCAUCAGCCAUGUGACACUGGGUCACAUUUCAAAGACCGUGUCGCUAACUGGCAGCAUCUCGAGCAGCCCAAAGAUGUUUGCUGUCUAUGGCAUGAAGACUAAAGAGGAUGAAGGUACCCUACUAGGAACCUUUCUUUAUGAUCAGGACGGCGAGUCAUUGCAGACUUUCAAACUGUCUGAUCAGGAAGCAGGUGUCUUCAGCCAUGUGAAGCUGCAAGUCGAGAGCAACUGGGGAAAUCCUGACUACACUUGCGUGUACAAUUUCAGGGUCUAUG